rfam:Brassica napus, WGS project CCCW01000000 data, contig: 12353
UGGCGAUGAUGAAAAAAAGGCCGGACUUACGGCUGCUACCACUCUCUUACGGAUGUUUAAGUGGGUGUUGUAGUAGAAUGAUGCUAAAGUUUCCAAAGGUUACUUCGCUGAGCCUC